UAUACAUCUGAAGGGUCUCAUGACUAUGGUUUUAUUAGACAGUAAUAAAUGGCCUUUUCCUAACAAUAGCUAGCCCCCUCAAGCUCCUGGAAACUUUGCUCCCAAAUGUCCUUAGAGACUUACGCUAUCCCUAACCCCCUCCCAACUUCCAACUAUAUAAUCAGCCACUCCUCACACCCCCAGUACAGCUAGCUCUCUUUGCCCGUGGGCCAACCACCUUUUGCACCAAAGACAUCUCAAGAAUUCUUCCUUGACCAUUUGCUCUGAACCCCACCAUUUCCACAUCAAAAGGGCGACUCCAUCAUCACUCUGAAUCGAUCGCUGUGUAACAAUACAAAUUGGUCGUUUUCAUUUUUUAGUGAGCUCUACGCCCAACGUGGGGCUCAAACCCAGGACUGCGAGAUCAAGAGUCGCACGCUCUACCAACUGAGCCCGCCAGUUGUCUUCAUUUUAACGAAGCCCUGUAGACACUCUCAUGGCCAAUGCUACCACUCAGACUGCGGCCCCACCCCCAGGAACAUCAAAGCAUCCAAAGGAUUGAGAAGAUUAUGCCCUAAAGCCUCCUGGAAUGACUGAAAUGUGCCUCAUUACCAGCCCAAGGAAGAUGAAUGACACAGGUCAGAGUUAACUGAGUGCUUCUUGACAAAGACACAAUGCAGCACGCAACAAGGCUCAUUUAACACCCCAUCGGGAAGCCUUACAAGUUACAGCU